GGGGGAGUGGCUCAGUGGUAGAGAGCUUGCCUUGCAUGCAUAAGGCCCUGGGUUCGAUUCCCCAGCACCA
rnacentral:tRNA from 1 species